AGAGUUUGAUCCUGGCUCAGAUUGAACGCUGGCGGCAUGCCUUACACAUGCAAGUCGAACGGCAGCACGAGAGCUUGCUCUUGGUGGCGAGUGGCGAACGGGUGAGUAAUAUAUCGGAACGUACCCUAGAGUGGGGGAUAACGUAGCGAAAGUUACGCUAAUACCGCAUACGAUCUACGGAUGAAAGUGGGGGAUCGCAAGACCUCAUGCUCAUGGAGCGGCCGAUAUCUGAUUAGCUAGUUGGUGGGGUAAAAGCUCACCAAGGCGACGAUCAGUAGCUGGUCUGAGAGGACGACCAGCCACACUGGAACUGAGACACGGUCCAGACUCCUACGGGAGGCAGCAGUGGGGAAUUUUGGACAAUGGGCGCAAGCCUGAUCCAGCAAUGCCGCGUGAGUGAAGAAGGCCUUCGGGUUGUAAAGCUCUUUUGUCAGGGAAGAAACGGUGGACUCUAAUACAGAUCACUAAUGACGGUACCUGAAGAAUAAGCGCCGGCUAACUACGUGCCAGCAGCCGCGGUAAUACGUAGGGUGCAAGCGUUAAUCGGAAUUACUGGGCGUAAAGCGUGCGCAGGCGGUUGUGCAAGACAGAUGUGAAAUCCCCGGGCUCAACCUGGGAAUUGCAUUUGUGACUGCACGGCUAGAGUGUGUCAGAGGGGGGUAGAAUUCCACGUGUAGCAGUGAAAUGCGUAGAGAUGUGGAGGAAUACCGAUGGCGAAGGCAGCCCCCUGGGAUAACACUGACGCUCAUGCACGAAAGCGUGGGGAGCAAACAGGAUUAGAUACCCUGGUAGUCCACGCCCUAAACGAUGUCUACUAGUUGUCGGGUCUUAAUUGACUUGGUAACGCAGCUAACGCGUGAAGUAGACCGCCUGGGGAGUACGGUCGCAAGAUUAAAACUCAAAGGAAUUGACGGGGACCCGCACAAGCGGUGGAUGAUGUGGAUUAAUUCGAUGCAACGCGAAAAACCUUACCUACCCUUGACAUGUCUGGAAUCCUUGAGAGAUCAGGGAGUGCCCGAAAGAGAAUCAGAACACAGGUGCUGCAUGGCUGUCGUCAGCUCGUGUCGUGAGAUGUUGGGUUAAGUCCCGCAACGAGCGCAACCCUUGUCAUUAGUUGCUACGAAAGGGCACUCUAAUGAGACUGCCGGUGACAAACCGGAGGAAGGUGGGGAUGACGUCAAGUCCUCAUGGCCCUUAUGGGUAGGGCUUCACACGUCAUACAAUGGUACAUACAGAGGGCCGCCAACCCGCGAGGGGGAGCUAAUCCCAGAAAGUGUAUCGUAGUCCGGAUUGUAGUCUGCAACUCGACUACAUGAAGUUGGAAUCGCUAGUAAUCGCGGAUCAGCAUGUCGCGGUGAAUACGUUCCCGGGUCUUGUACACACCGCCCGUCACACCAUGGGAGCGGGUUUCACCAGAAGUGGGUAGCCUAACCGCAAGGAGGGCGCUCACCACGGUGGGAUUCGUGACUGGGGUGAAGUCGUAACAAGGUA
rnacentral:rRNA from 1 species